rnacentral:lncRNA from 1 species
CACAAGUUGUAUUUACUGAAUCAGCUCUAAUUACAGCUUUUGCUGAGGUUGUGAGGUCGGGAGAAGCAGUCACAUCUUUCUCAGAAGGAAAACAUGAGCCAAAGCUUCCUUCUCAGAAGUCAGAACUGACUCACUGACUAUCAAUGAAUCCAACA